rnacentral:lncRNA from 1 species
GUGCAUGCUGUAAUUGCCAGAGGAGCGGUGGGAGCUCUCACAGGUAGAUGAAGCAAACGCUGAGGUGCUGCAGCUGUGAGCAGGAGGAAAAUUAAGCUGUGAACUGGAAUUCCAUCAGGCUGUCUACUGUGAAGCCCUGUGGCUUUAGCAAAGGGGCAGCAGUGGUCAGAAAUGACACCCAAAAGAAAAUGACAUGGAAUUCACAGUGGACUUCCUACUCCUGUGAAAGAAAGGGAGAAGAUGCUUUUGCUUCAUGCAAUCUUCACAUCUAAAGAGGUUGCUGCUGUUAAGCACUUCCGCAACUUAGACACACAAAGAAAUGGGAACCCUUUGCAGCCAGUAGUGGAACAUGAGCGUGGACCCUUCAGGCUUUGUCUGAUUUCUUCCUGUUUCUCUGACAUGUUGCUAAAUCAUGGCAAUGGAAGAGCUCAUCUCCAGGCUGCCAAACCCAUGCUGCCUUCCAGGUUUAAAAUCUUAAUCCCUGAAUAACGCCGCCGCCUGCCUCCCGGCUUUCUUUGGAGACCUUCCAGCUCUGGCCAGCCCUGACCCUAUUUGACUGAAGGUAUGUGGGGCUCAAAACUGGGGCAAAUACGGCUUCUGGCCAUUAUUACAAUGAAUGAAAAGUAUGUAAUUGAUAAUUUCAUUUAAGACCCGGCGCGAUAAGAGUUUGUGAUCAAAUGCUGGUUUCAUUUGCAGCAGUGUGCUUCCAUUGUGACUUCAGAAAAAAUCAAUGGGUGUAAGGCAAGAUGAGUCAUAAUGCACGCACUGUACCAAAGGGGAGUAGAAAUUUCUCCAUAAAUAACAUCUCUUUUAGCAAAAUGCAGAACCAAAACCCUGAAAAUCUAUACUGUAUUGAACUGCACAGUUCAGGAAAGAGGCUGUAUAUAUAACAGCACGUUUCUGAAUGUGUAGGUUGCUCCUUGUGGACGAAACCUUCCUUUGAGACAGUUGGUUGCUCAUUUUCGCAAAAUAUCUGUUAAGUAAUUUCCAUGAUCGGGACAUGGGAUUAAAAGAUCUGUGGGGGCUUUUUUGAAACUCCUGUGUUUGGAAGGCACCUCGCACCCUACAAGCAGUGGCAGAAAAGCCAGGGAGAUGCCUCUAGGUGGGCUACUGGGAGCACGGAGAUGUUUUCACAUGCUUGGGAAAAGACAAGAAGGCCAUUUUGUCAUUUGGUGGUUGGCUUCUUGCUGCUUAUUAAAUAGGCUGCCAAACUUGUGGCUAACGAGUGAUUUUAAUGUAGUUUGAAGGCAGCUUUUGUUUCCUUCAACUGCUAUUUUAAGAAAGAUCCCAUAAAAUUAAUUGACUGAUGAACUGUAUAAUUGAUGCUGUCUACACAGUGUGCACCAGCCAAAACUGAUGGGUAGCAGGAGCGCUGGCAUCUUGGUAGGGGCUGCGCUAACCCCUUCGGAGAACCUCUGCCUGCCCUCCCUUUAUGCUCCUGGGUAGGAGAGGGCAUGUUUAGUUUUCUGCUUACUCUAUUCCCUUUUGUACUUGCUCAUUUGCUAGGUGCAUAAAGGAGAGGAGGUCACUUGUGCACAUGGGAUAAAGAGGUAUUAUGAAUUCUAAAGUGUUUGCUUUAUUGGGAAAAGCACACUGAGCAGGAAGGCGCGGGAACAUAAUGUGUGAAUUUUUAAUGAAUGCUGUGCCAAGUGUUUGUGCAUUUUUUUUCCUACCUGUAGCAGCUUUAUUCAUUUGGGAGAGUACUGCCUACAAGAUAUUCCUUAGUAGUAUGCUGGCUGCUGUUUAGUUUUAAUAAAUUAAAUCCUUUAUAUCA